GAUGAACGCUGGCGGCGUGCCUAAUACAUGCAAGUCGAGCGAACAGACGAGGAGCUUGCUCCUCUGACGUUAGCGGCGGACGGGUGAGUAACACGUGGAUAACCUACCUAUAAGACUGGGAUAACUUCGGGAAACCGGAGCUAAUACCGGAUAACAUGUUGAACCGCAUGGUUCAACAGUGAAAGACGGUUUUGCUGUCACUUAUAGAUGGAUCCGCGCCGCAUUAGCUAGUUGGUAAGGUAACGGCUUACCAAGGCAACGAUGCGUAGCCGACCUGAGAGGGUGAUCGGCCACACUGGAACUGAGACACGGUCCAGACUCCUACGGGAGGCAGCAGUAGGGAAUCUUCCACAAAGGGCGAAAGCCUGACGGAGCAACGCCGCGUGAGUGAAGAAGGUCUUCGGAUCGUAAAACUCUGUUAUUAGGGAAGAACAAAUGUGUAAGUAACUAUGCACGUCUUGACGGUACCUAAUCAGAAAGCCACGGCUAACUACGUG
rnacentral:rRNA from 1 species